AACGGCGAGGUAAGAGCUCACCGCGGACGUGGUAACACGGACGGCACGGCAAACCCCAUCCGGAGCAAGGCCAAAUAGGGAAGCAUCGGCGUGGCUCGCGCUGCUUCCGGGUAGGCCGCUUGAGCGUGCUGGCAACAGCACGUCUAGAGGAAUGGCUGUCCACGACAGAACCCGGCUUAUCGACCGGCUUCCCCC
rnacentral:RNase_P_RNA from 1 species